AUGCCCUUUGGAAACAAAAUGAAAAUGUUUACAUAGAAUACUGAGAGUUUUAAAGACUUGUAUUUUUAUUGAUGAAGCAGACACGUUUAAGUGAAAGUAGACAGUUUUGUUUCUGUAGAAACAUUUAGCACAAAACACAAGUAUGGCAUUGUCAGCGCCUUGUUCAGCCAGUUGACAUACAGCUACUAGUGCACUCCUGGGCACUUUAGACUGAGGAACAAAAUUAGGGCAUAGAUGCAUCUCCAAGUCAGCCCUUGAAUAAGUACACCUAAUUCCAUAUACAUAUGGCGCCAUCUGCUGGAUAGCAGUAAAACAUGUGCACGAGUACCUUUGAAACACAAGCUGCAAGUUAUCAUAAAUAAACAUAAAGCAUGAUUUUGACCUAAACAUGAUUUAUGGCUGCUGUUCAAAAGUCUGGGGAUGUAAUCCAAAACACUUCCUGUCAAACUUGAACGCGAAUUGCUCCUCGUGCCCCUCUAGCUGUGCGCUCAGUGUGAGAAACAAACAUAGCGGCUUGGACCGAGACGUAAACAAUUACAGCCAAUCAGCACAUAGCUUCAAGAGCCUGAGAGGCAGUGAUGUAUUUUGAGCUCAAAUAUCAACAACCUUUCACCAGAGUUGCAGACUCUAACUUUAAGGGCAGUUAGGCAGUUGUUCAGAAAAGGCCAUUUGGAAAGACCAUUUUCAUGAGGAAACCCCAUUUGACACCAUCCCACAUUAGGAAUGUUUAGCUGAGCUACAUUUAGCUCAUUUGUUAGUCCUCACCUCCAUGGUGAGGAAACAGAGAAGACAUACACUUUUUUAAACAUCAUACUAUGUGCAGAAACCUUACAGCCCUGCAGUAGCUGUACAGACAUAGAAAUGGAGGCUCCAUCAGCAGCAUGGCCAUUACCAUAGAAUACACACAAUUUAGCAUCAUGGCCAUUACCAUAGAAUACACACAAUUCAGCAUCAGAUAACUGGUUACAAUGGCCAUUACCAUAGAAUACACACAAUUCAGCAUCAGAUAACUGGUUACAAUGGUUAAGGUAAGACUAAAUAUAUCCCUAAACAUAUACA
ensembl:lncRNA